GAUGAACGCUGGCGGCGUGCCUAAUACAUGCAAGUCGAGCGAACGGACGAGAAGCUUGCUCCUCUGACGUUAGCGGCGGACGGGUGAGUAACACGUGGAUAACCUACCUAUAAGACUGGGAUAACUUCGGGAAACCGGAGCUAAUACCGGAUAAUAUAAUGAACCGCAUGGUUCAAUAGUGAAAGACGGUUUUGCUGUCACUUAUAGAUGGAUCCGCGCUGCAUUAGCUAGUUGGUAAGGUAACGGCUUACCAAGGCAACGAUGCGUAGCCGACCUGAGAGGGUGAUCGGCCACACUGGAACUGAGACACGGUCCAGACUCCUACGGGAGGCAGCAGUAGGGAAUCUUCCGCAAUGGGCGAAAGCCUGACGGAGCAACGCCGCGUGAGUGAUGAAGGUCUUCGGAUCGUAAAACUCUGUUAUUAGGGAAGAACAAAUGUGUAAGUAACUAUGCACGUCUUGACGGUACCUAAUCAGAAAGCCACGGCUAACUACGUG
rnacentral:rRNA from 1 species